AAGUAGACCCCCGCCUCCUAAAAAAGAGCUUCAAUAAACUUAAACUGUCAUCCUAUCAACUAAUCUAUACAGACGAGAACCUUCCGAAAUGUCUGCCUCUCAUCCAAGAUCAUGAUGAUAUUAAGACCUUCACCAAAAGGAAGUAAGUUCAUCAGUUGUGACCUAUAACACAUAUAUUUCAAAAUCAAAACCAAAAGGAAGUAACUUCAUGAGUUGUGACCUAUGAGCUAUAUAUCUCAAUAGCAGCUGAAAAGAAGUCAAUCUCUGAAGGUUCUUGCCAUAUGUAUCCCGGCUAGACAUCUUUGCUUCGAGCAAAUAUUUUAGUGCUUUCAUGUUUAUGCAUCUCAAAUUCUUUCCAUUUGCAUUACUUCUUCUGCUAGUUAAUAGAAACACCGAACUAAAAUACAUUUGGAAAGGUCUACAGAGAUCUCAGGAGAAAUUGAAUGAUAUUAGCAAAAAAAGUUAUACAUAGAGGAGGCACCUAUUUGUCACAUGCAAUUCUUAUUACAUCUAGUCCUUCAUCCAGCGCAGCAAGAUGGAUCCAUAUCCAUAAUUGGCAUUGUAAUGAACUGUGGUUUCUUUCAAAAAAUUAGUCUGAGAAUUGGACAAAUAUGCUUCUGUGUACAACAGAAAGGUUGAGCGCGGGGGGCAUCGAGUUACCACGGCCUCCAAAACAGGUAUAACAACAGAAACAACCGUACACAUCCUGCUCACACGCAUACACGAAAUAUAAGCAACAUGAGAAUGAACAACACACAACACCCGACCAUAUCCGGAACAUUUAAUGAUCAGCAUGACAUACAGAUAUUUAAAAGAUCACCAAGGCAGACAGCAUGCCACAUAAGAUACUGAAAGUAAAACACGCACACAUGUAGUAGAAAGAAAAGAAGAAAACCUUGAUGAGUCUAAAAAUGCAUCGACAGAAGAGAUAAUACAACAUGUGAAAUACAAAAAACAGUCAGAGCACAACGACACACAGGCAUGCAAUGAACACUCGCCGGUCACAGAAGCAACAGAACGGCCUAUUUACUCAAGGCAGCAAGCAGAAGCACGUUGGGUAAGCAGUAGGACGGACGAGAAGAAGAAGCGCCAGCGACAGGAGAAGUAGUUUGAAUCAUAGAACAAAGCGUCAGCACACACGCAUUUCAUCAAACAUUCUAUCUUUUAGGCAAGCAUGAGAGGAGUGGACUAACCUCAAUGAGGAGAAACAGACACAAGACUCGCCGCAAGCGACAACAGGAAACCGUACCAAACUGCACAUGAACAAAAUGAAGGCAAACAUACGAAAUUAGCACGACGAAUCCAAAGCAGAGGCGAAGAACAUGCGAACCAGAGAAGGAAGAACCUCAACCAGUGGCAACCAUCGAGUAGAGGAGGCCCAUCGGAAGAGAGCAUGGGGCUGCCGCAUCUUGGCUACCAUGCGACACGACGAGGCAAAAUAUCCUAGACCAUCUCUCCUUUCUUGUCAUAGUUUUUCGAUCAU
rnacentral:lncRNA from 1 species